UACGUAGGGUGCGAGCGUUAAUCGGAAUUACUGGGCGUAAAGCGUGCGCAGGCGGUUUUGUAAGACAGAUGUGAAAUCCCCGGGCUCAACCUGGGAACUGCGUUUGUGACUGAAUGGCUGGAGUGCGGCAGAGGGGGGUAGAAUUCCACGUGUAGCAGUGAAAUGCGUAGAGAUGUGGAGGAAUACCGAUGGCGAAGGCAGCCCCCUGGGUCAGCACUGACGCUCAUGCACGAAAGCGUGGGGAGCAAACAGG
rnacentral:rRNA from 1 species